GGACAGAGCUAGCCUGUCCCCCUCCAACCUGCCGGAGUCCCCUGGUCACAAGUCUCCCGGUAGCUCCUUACUUCUGGGUCUGAAGAGGGUGUCUGUGUGGCUGGUCGACUGCAGGAAAACACCAGGGCAGAGUGGAACUGUGAGAGAAGGACACGAGGAGGAGGGAGAUUUGAUUUCAUCAAGAGAAUGUAAUGCUCUGUCAGCCAAUUGAAGCUCAACAGAAGUUGGGUGACGCAACAGGACAAUGACCCAAAACACAGAAGUCAAUGAACAACAGAAUGGCUUCAACAGAAGAAAAUAUGCUUUCUGGAGUGGCCCAGUCAGAGUCCUGACCUGAACCCGAUUGAGAUGCUGUGGCAUGACCUCGAGAGCGGUUCACACCAGACAUCCAAAGAAUAUUGCUGAGCUGAAACAGUUUUUUGUAAAGAGGAAUGGUCCAAAAUUCCUCCUGACCGUUGUGCAGGUCUGAUCCACAACUACAGAAAACAUUUGGUUGAGGUUAUUACUGCCAAAGGAGGGUCAACCAGUUAUUAAAUACAAGGGUUCACAUACAUUUCCCACCCUGUACUGUGAACGUUUACAUGGUGUGUUCAAUAAAGACAUGAAAACGUAUAACUGUUUGUGUGUUAUUAGUUUAAGCAGACUGUCUAUUGUUGUGACUUAGAUGAAGAUCAGAUCAAAUUGUAUGACCAAUUUAUGCAGAAAUACAGGGAAUUCCAAAGGGUUCACAUACUUUUUCUGGCCACUGUAGCACCACACUGACAUGAUUGGUUGAUGGUAGGUGGGGGGCGGUACAUCCUGUAUAAACACAAACUCCCUUCCUUGACUACUUCCUUCCAGCAGUGUGACUCAGGGAGAUUCCUAGAUGUGAGAAGUGUGCAGGAGGACCUGAGAGAAAGGAAUGUGUACUAUUGAUGUAAAAAGUUGUGUGUGUAAACUGUAGGGGUACACAUGGUGCUGGAGGUCAGACGUGUCCGGUGAGAGAAAGACAGGUUGAGGUUACCAGGAUCACAGUAGUGCAUAAGGUGUUGUAUGCUGAGGCAGUGAAGAGAGUACUAGAGGAAGAUGGGUCCAGGGUGAAGGAUUCUGAGAAGAUCUCUGUGAUUAGGCCGAGGUCAGAGAGUGAUAAGAAUAACAUGCUUCACGAAGUUUGUUUUUUAACGGGGUUUUUUCGCAUUCAUGGCCAUGGUUGUCAAUUGUACUGCAGCAAUAGAACGUAAAUCACAGCGCAUAGAUGUUGUGGUGGCAGCUGCAGAGAAGUACUUGGGAGUAUGAGAUUUUACUGCAGAAGAGUUACAAGGUGUUUUGAACGAUAAGGUCCCGUCCUCCCAGGCUGCUGGCCUGGUGUAGGAUCAGAGGGCCAAAGUAGUGGAAUAAUGAUGAGGUUUUAAUGGGUGUAGGGUCAGUGGUGUAAAAUACUUAAGUAAAAAUACUUUAAAGUACUACUUAAGUUGUUUUUUGGGGUUAUCUGUACUUAACUAUUUUAAUUUUUGACAACUUUUACUUCACUACAUUCCUAAAGAAAAUAAUGUACUUUUUACUCCAUACAUUUUCCCUGACACCCAAAAGAACUCAUUACAUUUGGAAUGCUAAGCAGGACAGGAAAAUGGUUCAACUCACGCACUAAUCAAGAGGUCAUCCCUACUGCCUCUGAUCAAGCAGACUCAUGAAAUACAAAUUAUUUGUUUGUAAAUUGUGUUGUGUGCCACUGGCUAUCUGUAAAAUAAAUAAUUGAGCUGUCUGGUUUACUUAAUAGAAGGCAUUUGAAAUGAUUCAUAGUUUUACUUUUGAUACUUAAUUAAAUUUGAGCAAUUACACUUACUUUUGAUACUUAAGUAUAUUUAAAACUAAAGACUUUUAGACUUUUACUCAAAUUGUAUUUUACUGGUUGACUUCAACUUUUACUUUAGUCAUUUUCUAUUAAGAUAUCUUUACUUUUACUCAAGUAUGACGAUUAGGUAUUUUUUCCUCCACCGUGCAGCAUUAGUUAGUUGGUUUUUCCCAAAGCGUAAUGAAUUCAGACUGCAGAGAGCAGUAGGCUGAUACACAGCCAAUACAGUAGGCAGCGGCAUGCAUCUAUAACAAUUGUAUGCGGACCGCCAUAAUACCAAAGAAGAAGAAGACUACUUCCUUCACCACAGCUUUCGUGAAGCGGAAGAAGUAUGAAUGCACUGACAACUGCGGAGGUUGACUUGCUGUAAAUGCUGCAUGGCCACUGCAGAGGUCGGAUUGAACAUACAUCGGGUUUUACUGGUUUGCUGCACGUAUAGCUCUGCUGUAAUCAGUCUGGUAUUUUAUAGGCUUCCCUUACUGGUCCUCAGAGAAUUACAACUAUCUGGACUGUCGAAGAGGACGUUGUUCCAACAGACUCAGAAACGCUGAUGAAAUAAUAUCUUCGACGAUGGAUCGGGACAGAGCUAGCCCAUCCCCCUCCACCCUGCCAGAGUCCCCGGGUCGCAACUCUCCUGGUAGCACCUUACUGCUGGGUCUGAAGAGGGUGUCUGUGAGGCUGGUCGACUGCAGGAAAACACCAGGGCAGAGUGGAACUGUGAGAGAAGGACACGAGGAGGAGGGAGAUUUGAUUUCAUCAAGUAAGAACAAUGGGGUGUGUGGAUGAGACUGCAAUCUGCUUCUGCAACUUCUGUUGAUUUGAUAAAAAUAUACACUCAGUUACCAGAUUGUUAGGUACACCCAUCUAGUACUGGGUCGGACCCUCCUUUGCCUCCAGAACAACCUGAAUUCUUUGGUGCAUUGAUUCUACAAGGUGUCAAACGUUCCCCAGGGAUGUUGGUCCAUUCUAACGCGAUGGCAUUACGCAGUUGCUGCAGAUUGGACGGCUGCACAUUCAUGCAGCUAACAGCCCUUUUCAUCUCAUCCCAAAGAUACUCUAUUGGGUUUGGUCAGCAACAAUGUUCAGAUACGUUGUAGCAUUCAAUCGAUGCUCAAUUGGUAUCAAGGGACCUAACGUGUGCCUGGAAAACAUUCUCCACACCAGAUCACCACCUCGACUAGCCUGUACCGUUGACACCAGGCUGGAUGGGUCAAUGGACUCACAGCCACGUGACCCACUGUAUGUAGGAACGAUCCAUUUUUGUGAAAGGGGGUGGACCGAAUAAACUGUCCGCUGAGUGUAUGUUGCUAUAUUAUUUGUAUAAUAUUUAUUUAUGGACCCAUAUUUCCAAAACCUAGCAACUCAAUGUAUUUUGUUUCAAAGGGGACUCCCAUAACCAUCGCUCUUUCGGUGGAAGGGACUUAUCAUCUGGGGAGCCUGAACAACAUGUUGCUGAAGAGGCAGAGAAGAAUCUCUCCAGAUCAGAUCACCUCAAGAAAAACCAGCAGAGAAGUACAGUGAAGAAACCUCACCACUGUUACUCUGACUUUGGGAAGAGUUUUACUAGACUGAGGUCCUUAAUUCACCAACAGAUUCACACUGGAGAGAAACUGUUCUGCUGCUCUCAGUGUGGGAGGGGUUUUACUGCAUCUAAUGCCUUAAAAUAUCAUCUGAAAAUUCAUACAGGGGAGAGGCCUUACCCCUGCCUUGAUUGUGGGAAAAGCUUUGCUAAUUCAGGAGGCCUGACCAUACACAAGCGUUUACACACUGGAGAGAAACCUUAUAGCUGUGAACAGUGUAGGAAGAGCUUCAAUCAGUCAGGACACCUGACUACACACCAGCGAACACACACUGGAGAGAGGCCUUAUAGCUGUGAUCAAUGUGGGAAGAGAUUCAAUCAGUCAGGAGAGCUGACUACACACCAGCGAAGACACACUGGACAGAGGCCUUAUAGCUGUGAUCAAUGUGGGAAGAGAUUCAAUCAGUCAGGAGAGCUGACUACACACAAGCUAACACACACUGGAGGGAGACCUUACGUCUGUCUAUGUGGAAAAAGCUUUGCUCGAGCUUCCACCCUGACUAGACACCAGCGAACACACACCGGAGAGAAACCUUAUAGCUGUGAUCAGUGUGGAAAGAGCUUUUCUCAAACUUUCUCCCUGACUAAACACAAGCUAACACACACUGGAGAGAAAGAAGCCUUAUAUCUGUGAUCAGUGUGGGAAGCGCUUCAGUCAGUCAGGGACCCUUUAUUCACGUCAGUGAACACACACUGGAGAAGGAACCUUAUGACUGUCUAGGUGGGAAAAGCUUUGUUAAUUUAGGUCCAAUGGAAGAAAAAAACCCACCAGAAAACAAAAACAUGCCAUAUUUCAUCUCCCUCCUCUCCGGCACCGGUUUCAGAUCCAUAAAUAAAUGAUCAAUAGAAAACAUCUAGUGAACAGUCAUAUCUAUCUCCCAUUCUUAAACAGAUAACUUAGUCUGAUCACCAUGGUAACCUCUGUGGAGCAUAAUAUGCAGCUCUGAUCUAGGAUCAGGUCUCCCCUGUGUCUAUGUAAUAUCACACAUUGAUCUAAAUGGAUUAUGUUAUUAUAGAAAAUUUCAUAGUGAACCUGUUUGUGUGGGCGGGUGUUGAUAAUUGUAUCUUUCAUCUACCCAUGAUACUAUUAUUAUUACAUGUCAUUAUGUAGAAUAAUGUUUCAACAAUAGGUGUAUAUUCAUUUAUUCAAUUGAUCAAUAUAUUAAAUAAAUUAUCUUCUUAACAAGAAUUUAUCACUUUCAUUUAAAAAAAAUAUAUAUCUACAUUCAUUUAAAAGGAUCCUAAAACUAAUCAAUGACGCAUUGAAUAAUAAUAUUCAUGAGGUCAAGGAAAGAACUGUGUAUGCUGUCUUGUAACAACGGUUAAUGUAAUAACUUUUACAUUUAUAAUGUAAUAAAACCAGUAAAUGUAA